rfam:HIV-1 clone TZBGP0025 from Tanzania, partial genome.
UUUUUUAGGGAGAAUUUGGCCUUCCAACAAGGGAAGGCCAGGAAACUUCCUU